rnacentral:rRNA from 1 species
UACGUAGGCAGCGAGCGUUGUUCGGAGUUACUGGGCGUAAAGGGUGUGUAGGCGGUUGCUUAAGUUUGGUGUGAAAUCUCCCGGCUCAACUGGGAGGGUGCGCCGAAUACUGAGUGACUCGAGUGCGGGAGAGGAGAGUGGAAUUCCUGGUGUAGCGGUGAAAUGCGUAGAUAUCAGGAGGAACACCGGUGGUGUAGACGGCUCUCUGGGCCAAUACUGACGCUGAGGAGCGAAAGCGUGGGGAGCGAACAGG